rnacentral:rRNA from 1 species
AGACAGCCAGGAUGUUGGCUUAGAAGCAGCCAUCAUUUAAAGAAAGCGUAAUAGCUCACUGGUCGAGUCGGCCUGCGCGGAAGAUGUAACGGGGCUAAACCAUGCACCGAAGCUGCGGCAGCGACGCUUAGGCGUUGUUGGGUAGGGGAGCGUUCUGUAAGCCGUUGAAGGUGGCCUGUGAGGGUUGCUGGAGGUAUCAGAAGUGCGAAUGCUGACAUAAGUAACGAUAAAGCGGGUGAAAAGCCCGCUCGCCGGAAGACCAAGGGUUCCUGUCCAACGUUAAUCGGGGCAGGGUGAGUCGACCCCUAAGGCGAGGCUGAAAAGCGUAGUCGAUGGGAAACAGGUUAAUAUUCCUGUACUUGGUGUUACUGCGAAGGGGGGACGGAGAAGGCUAGGCU